UCUUACAAACGACAACGACAAACGAACGUCAGUCCGGUCAGUCCCGUCAGUCGGGUUGAGUCGGUUGGUUAUUUCCAGGCAUGUCGGUUUUUACUUCUUGUAUCGAAAGAUACAACGAAGGAGCAUCGUGUCUCUCAGUAUAUCCCGAAAACACUUUUCUAACCGUCAUUUCCAAAUCGUUUUUCUUUCCGAUUCUCCGGUCCGUGAAAAACAAACAACAUCGUGUCGUUUUUACUCUCAUUUCUUUCGCGAAUAGACCAAACGUAUGACGCCGAAAAAGAUUUGUAAUGAGAAAAAACCACGCUACCGUGUAAAAAUAGUGCAUCGAAGUUUUUUUCAUUCGCGAAUUAAACGGAAAUAACUCGUGCGACAUUCGUGAAAACAGGAUAUACAUGUCAUCCGCGUUAGUAAAAUAAUAAUAAUAAUAAUAAUAAUAAAAGUGGAGUGAAGAAAAUAGUGGACAAGGACUGUUUCAAGAGGAUUUAAAAUUUGAUCGACGUUGCUUUCGGGAAGGGUGGAUGUUUGUUCGAGCUCAAACCUGCCCGGUCACGCGCCCUAGCAUGGUUGCCAAGCACUUUAGCCAGGGCUCCGGCCCGGAGACAGGGGUCCCGGAUAUGACGGUAAUCAGUGACAUAGACGAGACUGGGAUCAACCGAAAUCUCCAGGUCCGAUACGGCAGGGAUCAGAUAUACACUUACACCGGUUCCAUUCUCGUGGCGGUGAAUCCUUACAAGGAGGUUGACGUCUACACAAUGGAAUACGUAAAUCGUUAUCAUGGACAAAAAAUGGGAGCAUUGGAACCCCACGUAUUUGCACUCGCCGAAGCUUCCUACCGUUCGCUUCAGGAAACCAAGAACAAUCAGUCCUGCGUCAUAUCCGGCGAAAGCGGGGCCGGAAAAACAGAAACGACCAAAUUCAUACUCCAGUAUUUGUGCUCGAUAACGAGCAACGUUGACACUUGGGUCGAACAACAAAUCCUCGAAGCUAACACCAUUCUCGAAGCUUUUGGUAACGCAAAAACCGUGCGAAACGACAACAGCUCGCGAUUCGGUAAAUUCAUGCAAGUGUGUUUCGACAGUAAAUGGAUGAUAAGAGGCUGUAUAAUUCAGGAUUAUUUGCUGGAGCAAAGUAGAAUAACGUUCCAAAGUCCGGGAGAGCGUAACUACCACGUUUUAUAUCAGUUGGCGGAGGGAGGAAUACGAGACAGAGAAUUCGCAGAGACGUACAAGUUGGUGCCACCGACAAAGUACAAAUAUUUGAAUCAAUCGGGUUGCAUAAAGAUCGAUGGAAUAUCGGAUUCAAAGAAACUGGACGCGUUGCGUUUGGCGUUUAGCGUGUUGCAAGUCCCGACCGAAAUGUGCGAAGGUAUUUUUCGGGUAUUGUCGGCCAUUUUGUGGCUUGGUAAUCUCAACUUCGAGGACGUCGACGGUGAACGAUGUGAAUUGACGAAAGAAGAUCUCGACAUCAUCGCGACGGUAGCUCCUCUUCUCGGCUUGCAAGUCGAAGACUUAACGAGAGUCGUUCUCGUUCGUCAAAUAAACGUGCGCGGUAACAUCACCGAAAUUCCACUCAAAGUUCAAGAAGCACGCGAGAACAGACAUGCCAUGGCAAAAGCUCUCUACUCUAGAACGUUUGCUUGGCUCAUCAAUCAUAUCAACAAUUGCACCAAUCCGGGACAAGAUAGCUCCAGGUUUCUCGGCGUACUCGAUAUAUUUGGAUUCGAAAAUUUUGCUGUCAACAGCUUCGAACAACUCUGCAUCAAUUAUACUAACGAGAAACUCCACAAAUUCUUCAAUCAUUACGUGUUCGCUCUGGAACAGGAGCUGUAUCGUCAGGAAGAAAUUCAAUAUUCGCACAUAACCUUUACGGACAAUACGAUGUGCCUCGAACUAAUAGAAAAACCGCCGCGUUGCGUGCUGAAGCUAUUGACAGAGCAGUGUCACAUGCCAAAAGGUUCGGAUUUGGCAUACCUGACAAAUUUGCAUGCCGAGUUCGAUAGUCAUCCCUGUUACGUCAAAGGCGAUGAUCGUCGGAGAUGGGAAAAGGAAUUUGGCCUUAAGCAUUACGCUGGUUGCGUUACGUACACGGUCGAAGGAUUCGUUGAAAAAAAUCGCGAUGUUCAGCAAGACGUUUUCUUUGAUUUUAUGUCAAGAAGUACGAACGAAUUCGUUCAGGAGAUAACGGUUUAUCAGGACCUUUUGGGCUGCACGGUAGCACGAGCACCUGGAAACGCAACGACAAUGUCGAGAGGCACUUCCAAAGGUAAGCCGACCCUUUGCGAUUCCUUCAGACAUCAAUUGCAAGCGCUCGUUGAUGUUCUACAAGCAACGACGCCGUGGUACGCCCGAUGCAUAAAACCGAACAUGGAAAAAAAGUCAAACAACUACGACGAAAAACUCGUCCUCGAUCAACUCAAAUAUCUUGGAAUGUUGGAUAUCAUCAGAAUACGAAAAGAAGGAUUUCCUGUUCACAUGCCGUUCCACGAGUUUGUUGCUCGCUACCGAUGCCUCAGUCGCAAGACUUUGCCUCACGAUGACAAAGACGCUGCUAGGUGUCUAAUCGCAUGCCAGGGCAUCCCCGACACCGAAUGGCAAAUCGGCAAAACCAAAGUCUUUCUUCGUAGCUAUGUUCACGAACCUCUGGAAGACUCCAGAAAUCAAAUGGUCACCAAAAAUGCUAUCCUUAUACAAAAGGUCUGGCGAGCUUACAGAGUCAGGAGGGAAUAUCGACGCGUGAGAGUGGCGGCUCUAAAAGUUCAGCAUGCCUAUCGUGGUUGGAAACUUCGUAUAAUGUUUAUAAGAAAACGACGCGCAGCGAUCGUGAUCCAGUCGCAUCUUCGGGGAGUAUUUGCCCGGGAAGUAGCUGCUGCUUUGCGAGAGAUGCGUCGAGUCGACGAAGAGAUGCGAAAACGUGAAAGAAUGGAGGAAGAACGAAGACUUAUGGAGGACAAAAAAACUAUCGAAGAUAGUCAAAGCGCUCAAUACAAUGGUAUUGCCGGAAUGGAAGCAGGGAAAGCUCAGGAGGAAAUCGCAGCGUUGUCGCAAAUGGCUGAGACUAUAAAUUCUAAAAUGGCUGCAUCGGAAUUGCAGUCAGUGGAUCUGGACAAUUUAUUCUCUUUCUUGUCGGACGUACAAUCGACCAAAAGCAAUCAAAUAAUCGAGGAAAUUGGUGAGCGUAUGGACGAGUUGGUAGAAGAUCUUGAUGCUGAAUUGGAAACGGUUAUCCAGCUGGAGAUGGAAAUGAAUGCUCGAGCGGAUUCGAAGCUGAACUCUCCGGAUGGGAUUGCUCAAAGAAACGGUACAACGACAGUGUGUAAGUUGGGACAACCGAGUUUGCCGGAGCCAACGGGACCGCCACCGCCACCACCCCCACCGCCGCUGCCAUCACUUUUCAACGACGAUUCUUCAAUGCCAGAUGAUAACGAGCCGAUCUACGAAUCAGUUUUACCGCGUGACGAAAAUGGACCGAGCAGUCCGAUAAUGAUGAACAGAAAUUCUGGUCAAUUGAUAAACGGCGAAACAUGCGCCUCUCCACCACCCGUCCCAACAAGUAAAAUAAUUAAAGAAACUUCGAUCGGAAGUCCACCCUCGAGGCCGGAAUCUCGCAAUUCAAAUGCUCAUCACUCGUACCAUCAGAAUCAUCAUCCAAACGUCACAAGUGUGUCUCAACAAAACGGCCAGGAUAUUCAACCGCAUGCAAUCAACCAACAACCACAAGUGCAGCAACAGCAACAGCAACAGGUGCCACAACAACAACCACAACAACAACCACAACAACAACAACAACAACAACAACAACAACAACAACAACAACAACAACAACACCAACAACCGAUCAUCAACUCUGUCUCGCAGCAACAACCUGCUGAACGCGAACAACGUCGCAAAUUCCGCGUUGAACGAAAACUUCAAGAGCUUGAAGAUAAAAAAGAGAUUCCCGAAAUUGAAACCACAUAUCACGAUAUUGUCGAAUUUGCACAAAACUAUUUCAACAGCCACGAGAGAUCACCUGAGGGCACUAUUAUGGCCACCCUGACGAGGAAAUCACGUGGCAAAAGUGUCGAAUUCAUUCCUAAAUAUGAAAUGGUCACGUAUUACAAAGGCUCCAGCAUUCCAAAUUCUCAUAUUCAUAUGUACGAUCCAGAUAACGUAAAUCUUGCCUGUUCCAUCUUUAGGGAUUUGUGCAAGUACCUUCGUGGAGAAAUGAAGUUGGAUCAAGAAAUAGCAACGAUUCAAUCGAUAAUCGGCUACGGUAUAGAGCGCGAAGAGCUUCGGGACGAGAUUCUCGUGCAAUGUAUUCGUCAAGCAACUAACAAUCCGAAUUUGGAAUGGGCUGAAAGAGUCUGGCUUCUGCUCUGUCUGGCGAUUGUUGCUUUCCAACCGAGCAAGCUACUCUAUAAAUAUUUCGUUUCAUUUCUCAAGAAGAAUCUCGCUCUUGAAGGGAAAUUGCGUCAAUACGUCGAGUGGUGCGUCGAUAAUUGCAAGAAUAUGAAAGUUUCGUGCAGACAAUUCCCACCGUCAACUGUGGAGAUUGGAGCGAUGCGAAGACUCGGCACGAUCGUUUGCCGAUUUUUCUUCCUCGAUGGAAGAACAAAAGCUAUCGAUGUUCAUCCGACCGACACGGCGGCCGAUGCUGCAGCAAAACUGGCCGAAAAAUUGGGUUUGAGGUCUUUGGAAGGAUGGGCGAUUUAUCAAAGUCGACCGGACGGCGAAGAACACGUUCGAGCACACGAUUAUCUUUAUGACGUCAUUGCCGCAUGGGAAGUUAAACAGUGCAAGCUCAAUACCUCUCAGUCAAGCUUCUCAACCCUCAGGCGGGGCAACAACGCAACUUUAGGCAGCGGCGACAAUCGCUUUGUCUUCAAACGCCGAUUAUUCCGGAAUACCCGAGAACUCUCACAAGAUCCCGUUGAAGUCAACAUGCUGUACUCACAGGCUGUGUACAACGUCGUCAAAUGCGACGAUUUUCCGGUGUCGGAGAAAGUUGCGUUGCAGCUCGCGGGUUUGCAGGCGCAGGUAUCGCUCGGUGACCCGAAGGACAACGAUCGUCUGGACUAUUACAGUGAGGUGGAUAGUUUUCUGCCCUAUCGGAUAAGCCGAGCUCGCGGAGACGAUGUGUGGGUACCAAUAAUCGCACAGGCUCACAAGCAAUACGGUGCUGGUCGUUCAGAGCUCACAGCAAAAGUGCUGUAUCUCUCUUGCGUAAUGCAGUAUCCGCUUUACGGUACAACCAUGUUUAACGUGACGUAUCGCGGUUAUUGGUCAUACGGUAAUCAAUUGAUAUUGGGAAUAAGUGCGGACGGUUUGAUGCUGAUUAAGCCGGACGACAAAUUCGUGCUGUCGGAAUAUCGUUAUCAGGAUGUCGAGAGCAUAAUGUUAGAUCCGAGCGAUUCCUUCAUAACGCUUUCUCUGCUGAGACACAAUCCCGAUAGUUCGCACAAAUGUUUUGUAUUUGAGACCCCACAGAAAAAUGAGAUCGGUAGUUUGAUUGUAAGUUAUUGUCCGGUGCUGGCCGGUUGGAUAACGGAGAAUGAGGCCCCAACGAAAAAGAUAAAAGGCAUGACGAACGAGGACCGCGUUCGGCUUUAUCACAAUCUCGUUAAUUGCCGACGAGUUCUCGUUGAUUCGGAAGCUCUGAGAAAACCACAGGAUUCGGGUGGCGGUUUUCUGCGCAAUACGCUUAGAAGAUUGUCCAAACAUAGGAUCGAGAAAUUGCGUCAAGAACACGGGAGCUCAGCGGACCACGGCGAAACUUACAAAGGCUUCCCUCAUGUUUAUUGGGCUUUCAGCAGACAAACGAUACCACAGAGCCUGACCAAAUUACCCGACGCCGAGGAACAAAUAGCUCUUAGCGUUUUCCAACUCAUCUUGACAUAUGCCGGACUCGGACAAAACGGUGACACCGUUCGCCGGGUCGAGGAUGAACAUGUCAAUCUCAUACAAACAGUCAUGGAACGAUGUAUGAGGAAAGAAAAUUUACUCGGUGAACUUUAUCUCCAACUUAUAAAACAAACCACGGAUCACCCCGAUCCAAACAGCCGCGUUAACCUUCGCCACUGGGCGCUCUUGUCACUCGCUUGUUCCGUCAUACUUCCUCCACAAAAAAUCAUAAGAAAGUAUCUAAUCGCUCAUCUUAAACGUUGCGCUAGCGAUUACGUCACCGAAGAAGGAAAAUAUGCAAGAUUUGCCGAAAAAUGUUUGACCAAAACUCAAGGCACGAGGAGACGUCAAUGGCCACCCAGCAGGGAAGAAAUCAUGUGCACUAUCAACCGAAGACCCAUUUACGCUAGAUUCCACUUCAUGGAUGGACAGUACCAUGCUGUCGAGUUCCAUCCCUCGGCCACUGCCAGAGACGUCAUGGAAAUUAUCAAAGCCAAAAUCGGUCUCGAAGAAUCAGCAAUGGGUUAUGCAAUUUAUGAAGUGCUUGGUUCAACGGAAAGGUCUCUUGUGCCAGAGGAAAAAAUAGCUGAUGUUAUGUCGAAGUGGGAACGUUACAGAACUGCCAGUGUUACCCAACAGGGUAAUCAACCACAAAGAAAACACGGUCACCACCUGUUCCUCUUUAAAAAACAUCUGUUCCUUGACCAAUACAUGAAUCUCGACGAUCCAGUCGAAAAAGAACUUUUAUAUCACCAAGUGCUGCAUGAUUUGCGAGCUGAUAGAUUCCCCAUUACCGAGAAAGAAGCGAUGAUGUUGACUGCGCUUCAAGCACAAUUAGAACUUGGUGACUGCGAAGAGGGACCAAUGCCACAAGAAUAUCGAACAAUAUCUAGUCACUGCCUGCCAUCAAGACUCGUACCAAACGUUUGCCUCGACGGUGUUCUCCAACAUCAUCAAUCGUUACGGGAGCCACGAUAUUCGACGUUAUGCAAUCUUUCACCUCUAACUGGCCGAGAGUAUUGUGGUUGGCUGUCGAUCAGCAGGGACUCCAUUUACUUGAACACCGAUCAAGGAACGCUUUGUGCACUUAUGAGUACAGCAGUAUAUUGAGCUACAGCCCAGCUCUUAGUUGCCUCAUGAUUAUUACCGGCACUGAUAAAAAACAAAGCAAAGUUAUUUUGACCACGUCGCAGGCUUGUCAAAUAGCUAAUUUGAUUCGCGAGUAUACGGAAGUACUCCAAUCACCGAUUGAAGUCCCGAAGAGAGACUCAACGAUAAUACAACAUAUAAAUCAACAUCAGCAGCUGCAGCAACAGCCGCCGCCGACUA
rnacentral:misc_RNA from 1 species